GGAAGUGCGUCACUGUGGGGGCGGGCUUUGGUGUCUCAUAUGGUACUCAGCUCUUCUGCUGCUUCCUGUGGACCCAGACGUAGAACCGUCAGCUCCUUCUCCAGCACCGGGUCUGCCUGCGUUCCACCAUGAAGAUAAUGGACUGACCCUCUGAGCUGAUCCUGUCCCAAUGGUCCUUGGAUAACCCAUCAUCUCAGUACUGGUCAUCAGAUAACCCAUCAUCUCAGUACUGGUCCUUGGAUAACACGUCAUCUCAGUACUGGUCCUUAGAUAACACGUCAUCUCAGUAUUGGUCCUCGGAUAACACAUCACUCCGCCUCUCCUUUAGCGUAGUCUAAAUUCCACACCCAUUGUCUGCUACGACUCAGUUAAUCUUGCUAUUCAGACAGUUAAAUAAAUCCCUGUAGCCAA